rnacentral:lncRNA from 1 species
AUAUUUUUCAUUCAUUAUUUUUUGUAAUUUUGAAUAAAUAUACUUUUUACCUUUUCCUUUAUUCGACUUACACCUUUACUCUGAAGUACGUUAGUAUAACCGAUGCUUUCUUUUGGUCAAUACCAUAUACUUUUGUCCUUUUCUGAAGAUGUCGGAUUUUUGACAACGAGUCGAUCUCAUUUCUCCCUGGAAAUGUCGACGUUGCUCAAAAAGUCGAUCUCAUCUUUUUCUGAGGAUGUCGGUGUGUCUGCCGAUCCUUUUCUGAAGAUAUCGGAUUUUUGACAACAAGUCGAUUUCAUUUCUCCCUGGAAAUAUCGAUGUUACUCAAAAAGUCGAUCUCAUCUUUUUCUGAGGAUGUCGAUGACUGCCGAUCCUUUUCUAAAGAUGUCGGAUUUUUGACAACGAGUCGAUCUCAUUUCUCCCUG